UGAACCGUCUCGCUUAAUCCCCAGGUUUGGGGAACGGGGGAACCGAUACAGAUUUUGGACGGGAACAAUAGCCCGACUUCUGUAUUAUGAUUUCUAUUUUCGGGUCUUUGGGGUGAAUUUGAAGGUGUCCGCCAUGAGCGGGGGCCAGAGAUAGGGCGUCUCUCUUACGUCCGAACCCGACAGCUAACUCCGUAAGCGUAAGUAAGAGAGGCA
rnacentral:sRNA from 2 species